rnacentral:rRNA from 1 species
GACGAACGCUGGCGGCGUGCUUAACACAUGCAAGUCGAGCGGUAAGGCCCUUUCGGGGGGUACACGAGCGGCGAACGGGUGAGUAACACGUGGGUGACCUGCCCUCAGCUCUGGGAUAAGCCUGGGAAACCGGGUCUAAUACUGGAUAUGACUCCAUGACGCAUGUUGUGGGGUGGAAAGCCUUGUGCGGCUGAGGAUGGGCCCGCGGCCUAUCAGCUUGUUGGUGGGGUGANGGCCUACCAAGGCGACGACGGGUAGCCGGCCUGAGAGGGCGACCGGCCACACUGGGACUGAGACACGGCCCAGACUCCUACGGGAGGCAGCAGUGGGGAAUCUUGCGCAAUGGGCGAAAGCCUG